GAUAUAGCUCAGUGGCAGGGCAGCUGCCUGGCAUGCAGAAGGUUUCAGGGUCAACUCCCAAUGGCAUCU